rnacentral:lncRNA from 1 species
GCCCUAUCCCCUUUCCUAAGCAACAAGAAGUCAAUCUGGGUCCUGGCUACCGCGCUCCGAAAAGUGAUACAAAAAGUCAAUCUUAGUCCUGGCUACCGCGCUUCGAAAGGUGAUCAGGUGCUCGUCCUUCUUCGGGAAGCCCGAGUUCACCACCACUAGCCCAAAGGCCCUCGCAAACUCCAGUAGGGUCGCCCCCUCGUCAUUUCUCUCCCCAAAACCAAAACCCCCAUGCACGUCACCAAAGCCUCCCGGUAGCGCCCCGAUGUGCCCGUUGAAAUCCCCUGCUACAACAAUCUUCUCCGAACUAGGCACGCCUCUCACCACCUCCUCCAAAGCCUCCCAAAAUCGCAUCUUCUCCUCCCCCUCCGAUCCCACUUGCGGCGCAUAAGCACUACACACGUUCAGGGUAAACCCCCGAACAACCAACUUAAUAGUCAUCAACCUAUCGUUGAUCCUCUUCACCUCCACUACCUGACCUCUAAGCUCUUCAUCUACUAAGAUGCCAACUCCAUUCCUACGCCUGUCGCUCCCAGAGUACCACAGAAUAGUUGGGGAUAAUUCAGUUAGCUAACUUACAUACCUGAUAGCUCAAGUAAAAGCAAAAACCUCGAAAAAUCAAAAUAAUUAAGUGUUCUUUUGACCAUUAACUCCACAAUCACAUUAAACGAAAUGGCAAGUAAAUCACAAUCGAGUAUAUGUUGGGUAGGAAAUAGUUGGGGAUAAUUCAGUUAGCAAACUUACGCACUUGAAAGCUCAAGUAGAAGUAAGAACCUCGAAAAAAUCAAAAAAAUAUCAAGUGCAUUUUUGACCAUUAACUCCUCAAUCACAUUAAACAAAAUGACAAUUAAGUCACAAUCGCGUAUAUGUCGGGUAGGAAAUAGUUGGGGAUAAUACAGUUAGCAAACUUACACACCUGAUAGCUCAAGUACAAGUAAGAACCUCGAAAAAUCAAAAUAAUUUUAAGUGUGUUUUUGACCCUUAACUAUACAGUCACAUUAAACAACAUGUCAGGUAGGAAAGGUGAACAAUUGAUAGUUGACGAGUGUUUUGAUAAAUAGUUGGGUAUAAUUCAGUUAGCAAACUUACACGCCUAAUAACUCAAGUAAAAGUAAGAACCUCGAAAAAUC